UACGUAGGGACCGAGCGUUGUCCGGAAUUACUGGGCGUAAAGCGUGCGUAGUCGGUAUUGAGAGUCGCGGGUGAAAUCCCAGGGCUUAACCCUGGAACUGCCUGCGAGACCUCAGUACUAGAGUGUGAGAGGGGAUAGUGGAAUACCAAGUGUAGCGGUGAAAUGCGUAGAGAUUUGGUGGAACACCGGUGGCGAAGGCGGCUAUCUGGCUCACAACUGACGAUCAGGCACGAAAGCGUGGGGAGCCAAACAGG
rnacentral:rRNA from 1 species